rnacentral:rRNA from 1 species
AUGUCCGCAGGCGUUGCUCGGCAAUGCAGAGGGAGGUUCACGGGCAGAAAGAUGCCUCCUUCCUUUCGCCAGCGUCCGGUGGUUCACCGGCACUACCCACCAUUUGCUACGCUUAUCCGAGCGCCGGCGACAUGCUAUCCUCCUCCACCAUCUUUCAUGCCUGCGUCGGACGCCGGUCUGUCGUCUCCGUCGCCGCUGAGCCCGUCCACAGGUGCCAUGCUGCGCGCCUGCUUCCCGCCGGCGUGCCCCGCGCGCAGCCGCGUGGGAACCGCCCAGCUCAGUCCGUCGGCGGGAUCCUGCUUCCCGCCGUCACCGCAGGCGAAACUGCAGGCAGCAGCAUGGCGACAGGCAACUGCCUUCGGCCACCGUACGCUCCAUGGUGUCGGUCAAGAGGACCGCCACCGCAACCGCACAUCGGCGUCAUGCUGCCUCCACGGGACGCCGUCACAUGGCGCGCGGGGCUGA